UACGUAGGCAGCAAACGUUGUUCGGAAUUACUGGGCGUAAAGAGUGUGUAGGCGGUUUUGUAAGUUUGGUGUGAAAUCUCCCGGCUUAACUGGGAGGGUGCGCCGAAAACUGCAAGGCUUGAGUGCUGGAGAGGAGAGCGGAAUUCUUGGUGUAGCAGUGAAAUGCGUAGAUAUCAAGAGGAACACCGGUGGCGAAAGCGACUCCCUGGACUAGUACUGACACUGAGACGCGAAAGCUAGGGGAGCAAACGGG
rnacentral:rRNA from 1 species